AGCAGUUUGAGCAGAAGGAAUGAUUUUCUCCACACGGGCAAACUUUCCAGCUCUUUCUACAGUCUCUGCACUGCAAGCUGGUUUAGAGAAUGUUGAGCUUUUUCUAAAUAAAUGGUAAAUGGAGGUUGAGGAAACACUAUUGGGAAUGCAUUUUCUCUGAGUUAUGAUGAACAGAACAAAUCAGGAAAAGAAUCAUUACGAAGUACUUUGAGCCACUCAGUCUUUGAGAAUUUGCUUUGAUGACAUUGUAAGGUGAAGAAAGGCAGCUAAGCUAAUUUUUGUUUGGACAAAAAAAUGUGUUUAUUCUGUUUAUCUUAAAUGAGAGAUAUUAUGCUUUAUGGAUUUUUGAAAAAAAAUUAAAUAAGAAGGAGCUGUGGCCAUGGAAGAGAGAUGGAGGUAAGCAGAUGCAGCAGAUGGAGUGUGCGUGUUGAGGAAUGUAGCUCCAGGCAAGAGAGAGGAAAUGGAGGCAAAGGACACCUGGGCUUUGGAAAUGGACCUGCAGCUUCACAUGGGCGGAUCAAAGGCUGGCCACAGGUUACGUAGCCCAAGUAUCUGGGACAGAGAUGGAAUUGCUGCCUUAGGAAUGAGAAGUGAUUCUGAAUUGAGUCCACUGGAGAAAUACACAUACCACAUAUCUCCAGCAUGAGUGUUCAUGCGCUGGAAUCCAUGGUAUGCAUGAAAGUAGAUGACAGGUGAGAAGUCAUAGUUCUGAAAGCUUCAAUACCUCAUUCCCCAAAUGGGAAAAGGCCAUGGAGCCGUAUGUUAAGACCUUCUGCAAAUAGGCAGUCUUCUUCCAAGUAGAUCCGAGUGCAUACUCAUGAAGCGUAUACUAAGCACUGGCGAACAAACAGAGGAAGGACAUGUUAGAAGGGACCAGGUCACAUCAGUGUGUCCUUGUCUCUAUUCCUGCUUCUCCCUCUCAGCCUCCCCUAGCACCAGUGCUGUUGCCAGGAGACCGAAGUCUAGGAGACAGAAGAGGAGGCCACCAGGAAUGGAGAAUGGAUAGGCUGCGGAGCCAGUGAGAACAGAUUCGUGUUCCUGUUGUCUCACUUAUGCUCCUGUCCUUGGCCCUCUU
rnacentral:lncRNA from 10 species